GUAAAUAGCUUUCAUCAUCUUGAACCACACAUGAGCAGAGUCAUAACCAAAUAAUGAAAAACAAUUAAACACCAAUUAUAUCCCAGAAAACAAACUGAAGGACAGAUCCUACAAAUGAAGAGGCCAGUAAGAUCUCCCAAUUAUAAGAAAUGGUACACGGAAUAGAACAAGUUCUUCUACCAGUCAUAUAAUUAAUAUUGUCAUACGGUUCU